UACAGAGGUCCCAAGCGUUGUUCGGAUUCAUUGGGCGUAAAGGGUGCGUAGGUGGUGAGGUAAGUCGGAUGUGAAAUCUCCGAGCUCAACUCGGAAAUGGCAUUGGAAACUACCUUGCUCGAGGGUUGGAGGGGGGACUGGAAUGCUUGGUGUAGCAGUGAAAUGCGUAGAUAUCAAGCGGAACACCGAUGGCGAAGGCAGGUCUCUGGGCAUUAACUGACGCUGAGGAGCGAAAGCAUGGGGAGCGAACAGG
rnacentral:rRNA from 1 species